rnacentral:rRNA from 1 species
AGCAGCCGCGGUAAUUCCAGCUCCAAUAGCGUAUAUUAAAGUUGUUGCAGUUAAAAAGCUCGUAGUUGAAUUUCGAGACCGGCUUACUGGUCGUGCUAUUGUACGUACUGGUAUAAUCGGUUUCUCCUUUCUGACGAACUUUAAUGCCAUUAAUUUGGUGUUUUAGGGAAUCAGGACUGUUACUUUGAAAAAAUUAGAGUGUUUAAAGCAGGCUCACGCUUGAAUACAUUAGCAUGGAAUAACGGAAUAGGACGUUUGAUUCUAUUUUGUUGGUUUCUAGGAUCGACGUAAUGAUUAAUAGGGAUAGUUGGGGGCAUUAGUAUUCAAUUGUCAGAGGUGAAAUUCUUGGAUUUAUUGAAGACUAACUACUGCGAAAGCAUUUGCCAAGGAUGUUUUCAUUAAUCAAGAACGAAAGUUAGGGGAUCGAAGACGAUCAGAUACCGUCGUAGUCUUAACCAUAAACUAUGCCGACUAGGGAUCGGAUGAUGUUAAUUUUUUAAUGUACUCAUUCGGCGCCUUA